GACGAACGCUGGCGGCGUGCUUAACACAUGCAAGUCGAACGGAAAGGCCCUGCUUUUGUGGGGUGCUCGAGUGGCGAACGGGUGAGUAACACGUGAGUAACCUGCCCUUGACUUUGGGAUAACUUCAGGAAACUGGGGCUAAUACCGGAUAGGAGCUCCUGCUGCAUGGGGGGGGUUGGAAAGUUUCGGCGGUUGGGGAUGGACUCGCGGCUUAUCAGCUUGUUGGUGGGGUAGUGGCUUACCAAGGCUUUGACGGGUAGCCGGCCUGAGAGGGUGACCGGCCACAUUGGGCCUGCGAUACGGCCCAGACUCCUACGGGAGGCAGCAGUGGGGAAUCUUGCACAAUGGGCGGAAGCCUGAUGCAGCAGCGCCGCGUGCGUGAUGCCGGCCUUCGGGUUGUAAACCGCUUUCGCCUGUGCCGAAGCGUGAGUGACGGUAAUGGGUAAAGAAGCACCGGCUAACUACGUG
rnacentral:rRNA from 1 species